ensembl:piRNA 21ur-3697 ncRNA
UGUUACAGCAUAUGAAAACAA